rnacentral:rRNA from 1 species
UUGACCUCAGAUCAGGUGGGACUACCCGCUGAACUUAAGCAUAUCAAUAAGCGGAGGAAAAGAAACUAACAAGGAUUCCCCUAGUAACUGCGAGUGAAGCGGGAAAAGCUCAAAUUUAAAAUCUGGCGGUCUUUGGCCGUCCGAGUUGUAGUUUAGAGAAGCGUUUUCCGUGCCGGACCGUGUACAAGUCUCCUGGAACGGAGCGUCGUAGAGGGUGAGAAUCCCGUCUUUGACACGGACUACCGGUGCUAUGUGAUGCGCUCUCGAAGAGUCGAGUUGUUUGGGAAUGCAGCUCAAAAUGGGUGGUGAACUCCAUCUAAAGCUAAAUAUUGGCGAGAGACCGAUAGCGAACAAGUACCGUGAGGGAAAGAUGAAAAGCACUUUGGAAAGAGAGUGAAACAGUACGUGAAAUUGCUGAAAGGGAAACGCUUGAAGUCAGUCGCGUUUUCCGGGACUCAGCCUUGCCUCGGUGAGGUGUACUUCCCGGUUGACGGGCCAGCAUCACUUUUUGUUGUCGGACAAGGGCAGGAGGAAGGUGGCCCCCUCGGGGGUGUUAUAGCCUCCUGUCGCAUACGGCGACGGGGAGUGAGGAUCUGAGCGCUAUGCGCAUAGGAUGCUGGCGUAAUGGCUUUAAACGACCCGUCUUGAAACACGGACCAAGGAGUCUAACAUGCCUGCGAGUGUUCGGGUGGAAAACCCGUGCGCGUAAUGAAAGUGAAAGUUGGGAUCCCUGUCGUGGGGAGCACCGACGCCCGGACUUGAGCUCUUGCGACGGUUCUGCGGUAGAGCAUGUAUGUUGGGACCCGAAAGAUGGUGAACUAUGCCUGAAUAGGGUGAAGCCAGAGGAAACUCUGGUGGAGGCUCGUAGCGAUUCUGACGUGCAAAUCGAUCGUCAAAUUUGGGUAUAGGGGCGAAAGACUAAUCGA